AUCUUAUCCAGAGUGGCUGAGGGAAGGGCCCUGCGACGCCACAGCAACCGGUUCACCAUCAAGGUGGAUGCUGGUGCUAACUCCUGCCCCGCGCGUGUUCGUCGACCUUUCGGGUUUUGAA
rnacentral:ncRNA from 1 species